AUGAGUGAUUCUCUAUCUGCUGUUGCACUGCAAAACUGACUUUUUACAGACACGCACUUCAAGGAUUUGGAGAAUGUGUGAAAGCUUAUAUUUAAAUUUCAGUGAGAGAAGGAGAAACACUCAAAAUACAAAUCCAUAUAUUUUUAUGAUAUAAAUAUCCCCCUGUGACAUUAUUACUUCCUAACAUUGAUUUUCAUAGACUGAUAUGCUCCUAUAAAAUAUUUAUAUUUUAUAUAAAAUAUAAAUAUAGUUCAGCAGCUUCAUCAGUUGCAGACCUCAAGGCUUUAUGCAAGAAUUUUAAACCAACUUACAUGAUGUUGUUUUUCUUAAUUCUGAAAGGAAGACUGGAUUGACUGAUGGCUUUUCCAAAAUGAACCAAAACUUGAUCAGGGAUAGAAAAAAACUCCUUACCAAACUUCACAUUUUAACAUUCUUUUAACAGUGCAGUGUAAAGCCAACUCUUUUCUUAGCUCUCAUUCUCUUGUGCUUAUAUUUCAGUUUUGUAACCAGCACAUUUAAUCUGCCAUGCAAACAGGAGUAGCCCACACUAAAAUAAAAAGUUCCUGAUCCAUAGGAGCUGGAUGGAGGGAUAAAGCAUUGUGAUUAAGACUGUAUUAAUGGGGCCAUAGGAGGAUGGAAGGCUUUAAUCAGUGUCUGUGGCGAUAAUCCUUCUGCCUUUAGGCUGAGGCAAACAAAUGAUCCCCCACCCUCCUCAUAGGCCUCAGCCUUCAUGCACACUUACAACACACUACACACUGUGGGGUUCAUGGGUGAGGGGAACCUAGAGGUUGAGAGAUGAAUCACCACAAAAUGAAGGGAAAUUAAAGAAGUAGAUAAAUAGAGGAACAUAGAGUACAGAAUCAAAGAAGGUAUUACGUUUGGUAAACAUGAUGAAAGCAAAACCUGGUAAGCAAGACUUAUUUUACAAUAUACAAUACAUCCAAAAUAUAACCACUUUUUUCUAAUAUUACCUUGCAAACUUGUUCUAAAAUCAACCUGAGCGCAGUUCUCUUUCAAAUAAAAGCUACACUAAAUAUUUAAUGAAAAAGGAAAAAACAUGGGUUUUUUACACAUUUUUGUAAAGUUAUUAAGUAUGUAAACAUUGAAAAAUGAUAGUCACAGAACUAUUCAAUACUAUUGCUUAGUAAUAAUAAUAAUACUGAAUCCCAUCUAUGUCUUUGUAAGCUAGAUCAACCUAUUUUUGGGAUAUUUCCUGGUAUUCUUUUCUAGAAACCCUUUCAAGCUCAGUCAGGUUGAAUAGCCAGCAUUAGACAGCAUCAACCGGUAACCGGUGGGUUGCCGGUUCAUUCCCCCGCUCACUCUGUGUCUGUUGUUGUGUCCUUAGGCAAGACCCUUCUUCCGCCUUUCCUGCUGCUUGUGGUCAGAGGGCCUAGUGGUGCAGGUGCACAGCUUCUGUCAGACUGCCUCAGGGCUGCCAUGACUACAAUCUAGCAAGACCCUUCUUCCGCCUUUCCUGCUGCUUGUGGUCAGAGGGCCUAGUGGUGCAGGUGCACAGCUUCUGUCAGACUGCCUCAGGGCUGCCAUGACUACAAUCUAGUUCAAGGAAAAGUACCUAUCAUUUUGGUGCCGAAACCCGGGAUCUCUCCUCCCCCGCUGCCAGGCAGAGGAAGACGCGCUGAAUCCGUGCACGGCCAGAGUCAACUGGACCUGGAAAGAAAGACCCAGGAAGCAAAUUCUUCGCUGGGCCAGCUACGCAUGUCCGACUUUGUCUGCCAACGGCGGAGUGACGAGAUCCGACUGGACAACCAGACAACUACAGAAACGUAGGUGAAUUUUAAAACAAAAGGACGGCGGAGUCCUGCGAGACACAGUCGCUUAAGUUCCGUAACAAAAGGAUGUCGGAGUCCUGCUAGAAGCUUAAAUUCCGUAAUAGGUUUGAGUCCUUGUCAAAUAUCAGUUUGACUAAAUGAAGGUUUGAGUCCUUGUCAAAUAUCAGUUUGACUAAAUGAAGGUUUGAGUCCUUGUCAAAUACCAGCUUGACUAAAUGAAGGUUUGAG